rnacentral:rRNA from 1 species
UACGGGGGGGCAAGCGUUGUUCGGAAUUACUGGGCGUAAAGGGCUCGUAGGUGGCCAACUAAGUCAGACGUGAAAUCCCUCGGCUCAACCGGGGAACUGCAUCUGAUACUGGAUGGCUUGAGAUUGGGAGAGGGAUGCGGAAUUCCAGGUGUAGCGGUGAAAUGCGUAGAUAUCUGGAGGAACACCGGUGGCGAAGGCGGCAUCCUGGACCAACACUGACGCUGAGGAGCGAAAGCCAGGGGAGCAAACGGG